AACAGUUGUUGGACUUCUGCUCUUCUUUUCUGCGCUGUUUGUGAAACAGCAGCAUUUAGAGUGUCGUUCUGUGACACUGACUCUAGAAAAGAGAUAGAAAGAGAAGGGGAAGAGAGGGAGAGAGAGAAGCAGGAAAAGAGAGAGGAGAGGAAAUCGUUGUUGGUCUCGGGGCAGUGGAGCAGUGAUGCGGCGGGAAGCACCGGUAUUCAGACGAGAGAGCUACGGCUCUCCAGGACAUGACAAGAGCAAAAUCCAUCAGGUGGCUCGUGGAAUUUGCCCUAAUUGGUUUUUACAAUCAUACCUUAUUUAAUAUAAUUGGACUGUCAUAUAAGCGUUAUCCUGGCUGUUAUGCUGGGCUAUUUUUACCCUGUUUAUUGUAAGUCAAUUCAGUUCCUGGAAGAUCCCUUUAAUGCCCCGACUUGCAUGUCCAAUAUUAUUAGGUGCUAUGAGUUCAGCUUGUGCAAAUCGCUUAAUGCAUAAGUCGGUAAGAGGCUCUGUUCUGGCAGGUCAGACUGAAGGUACAGCAGAUUAAUAUUUGAUCAUGCAGGAGGGUCUGUAAUCACAGCUGAUUGAUCCUUCAGCUGAGUGCCCUGGCAAUUAGCAUAAUUGUUGCCCACCCUACCGGCUUCUCUCUUUCGCAUGUGUCCCUCGCUCAACCCCUAGUGUGGGCUGCAGGUUGAGUGUCUGUGGGACUGGAAUUCCUGUACAAUACUGUGUGUGUGUUUGUGUGUGUGUGUGUGUGUCAUUGAGUGAAUAAUGGGAGAGAGGUUGGAUGAGGAUCAUCAGAGCUGAAGUUUCCCUCUCUUGGACAGCGUUGUGUGUGUGUGUGUUUGUGUCUACAGGGGCAGUGGGACGCGGUUUGCUUGUGUUAGUGUUUCCGAGGACACACACAUGCUGUAUUUUGGCAGUGUUCAGAGUUAAUCCCCACUCAGCCACGCUCCACGCUCACACUCACGCUGCGAGACGGUAAAUGUAACACAAAAACACGCAGGAAAAAAACAGGACGGUGUCUAUUAACACAAGACUCUUUUAUCAAGAAUUCAUGGGUCUCUUUUUCUCCUUGGUGUACUUCCAAACACUAUGCUUUUCAAAUGAUUUUACUAACUGAUGCCCCCUUGCUUUAUGAUCCAUAACCUGUAAUAAUAAAGCUUGUAUAUUAUUUUAGAAAUGA